rnacentral:rRNA from 1 species
UGGGGAAUAUUGCACAAUGGGCGAAAGCCUGAUGCAGCAACGCCGCGUGAGUGAUGAAGGCCUUCGGGUUGUAAAGCUCUGUCUUUUGGGACGAUAAUGACGGUACCAAAGGAGGAAGCCACGGCUAACUACGUGCCAGCAGUCGCGGUAAUACGUAGGUGGCAAGCGUUGUCCGGAAUUACUGGGCGUAAAGAAUGCGUAGGUGGAUAUGCAAGUCAGAUGUGAAAUACCCGGGCUCAACUUGGGUGCUGCAUUUGAAACUAUAUAUCUAGAGUGCAGGAGAGGAAAGCGGAAUUCCUAGUGUAGCGGUGAAAUGCGUAGAGAUUAGGAAGAACACCAGUGGCGAAGGCGGCUUUCUGGACUGUAACUGACACUGAGGCAUGAAAGCGUGGGGAGCAAACA